CGUUAAAGCUUCACUAAUUCCACCAAAAAUCCCACAAACCAAACUAAACCCUUAAAUUCAUACUGAAUGACUUCAUAUUUCUAUGAAGAACUAUAUGUUAGAACUAGUAACAAGAAGUAGACCUUCUCCAAAAAUGUAAGCUUGAGCCAUAAUGAACCACUCACUGGCAUUUAAAGUAUAACUCUUCUAGUAGCAACUUCAACAAGAAAACCCUACCUAUUUACACGUCAACCUUACACCAGCGCAUUUCUGGAAAGAUUAAAAGAGUGGGAAGGAACUCGGCAAAUUAUUAACCCCGCCUGUUUACCAAAAACAUCGCCUCUUGACUCCCAUAAGAGGUCCAGCCUGCCCAGUGACCAAGUUAAACGGCCGCGGUACCCUAACCGUGCAAAGGUAGCGCAAUCACUUGUUCUUUAAAUGAGGACUAGUAUGAACGGCAUCACGAGGGUUACACUGUCUCCCCACUCCACUCAGUGAAACUGAUCUCCCUGUGAAGAAGCGGGGAUAAAAAUAUAAGACGAGAAGACCCCAUGGAGCUUUAAACUCAGUAUCAUCUGCUACCACAAUAGCCAAGUAACAAUGCAGCAAUGACAACUAGUUUUUGGUUGGGGUGACCGCGGAGUAAAACAAAACCUCCGCAACGAAAGGAACUAACAACCUAAUCUAAGAGUAACAGCUCUAAGAAUCAUAUAAAUUGACCUAACUGAUCCAAUUACUUGAUCAACGAACCAAGUUACCCUGGGGAUAACAGCGCAAUCCAUUUAAAGAGCUCAUAUCGACAAAUGGGUUUACGACCUCGAUGUUGGAUCAGGGUAUCCCAGUGGCGCAGCAGCUACUAACGGUUCGUUUGUUCAACGAUUAAA
rnacentral:rRNA from 1 species